GUAUAGCUCAGUGGGUAGAGCAUCUGCUUUGCAUGCAGAAGGUCCCAGGUUCAAUCCCUGGCAUCUCCA